CAGUCGCCACGGGAAUACGAAGGGUGCAAGCGUUACUCGGAAUUACUGGGCGUAAAGCGUGCGUAGGUGGUGGUUUAAGUCCGUUGUGAAAGCCCUGGGCUCAACCUGGGAAUUGCAGUGGAUACUGGGUCACUAGAGUGUGGUAGAGGAUAGUGGAAUUUCCGGUGUAGCAGUGAAAUGCGUAGAGAUCGGAAGGAACAUCUGUGGCGAAGGCGACUAUCUGGGCCAACACUGACACUGAGGCACGAAAGCGUGGGGAGCAAACAGGAUUAGAUACCCCCGUAGUCCAUGUCUCUUAUAC
rnacentral:rRNA from 1 species